GGUGAUCCACCUGCCUCGGCCUCCCUGAGUGCUGGGAUUACAGACACGAGCCACUUCGCCCAGCCUUCAGAUGACCCCUUAAACCCACGAUGCUGGCAGUGCCCUGAGCCAUGACACACACAGGAAGCAGCAGAAGCUUACAGUAGCUCUCUGCACCCCAAGGAUGCUUCUGAGGGGUCUGGUUUGUGUCUGGACCUCAGCUGUCUCUUAUUACCUUCAGGCUGUCUUGAAAUGAGCUUAGACGUCCCACUGCAAAAUUCAUUUUAAUUCACUUCAUUUCGGCUCCGUUGUAGGAGGCUGCCCUGAAAGCAAACAGCCAAUGCCCUCCCAACAAAUGCACACAUGGAUGCACCCCCAAAAGAAGUGGAAAGUGGGGAGUCUAGUGUUCAAAUGAGCUGCAAGUGCCAGCUACCAGAUCAAAUAACCAGGGGCGACCCAAACAGCCACCACAGAAACUCCCACUGAAGCACCAGGGGAGCUGGAAAUCAUACGGUCAUGUGUGCUCAGGCUAUGGAUCCGCAGCCUGGGCCUCGGAAGGGCUCCUGAGUGGGAAACUGGGGAUGAACAUGCCUGGUGGAGGAGGGAGGGAAGUUAGGGUGCAUGGCUCCUCCUUUCACAGUGCUGGGGUUAAGUCAGUGGAAAUGCAUUUCUGGACCUCAGCUUAUGCCUCAAUAAAAGUUUAAUUUAUUGUCGGUCAGGCACAGUGGCUCACCCCAUUUUUUCCUUUUCUAAUGCUAUUGUUUCCUUAUGUAGAUCCAAAUUUUAGACCUGUAUCAUUUUCCUUCUCUCUGAAGAACUUUAAACAUUCUUUGCAAGGCAGGUCUACUGGUGAUAAAUUCCCUAAGUUUUGGUUUAUGUGAGAAAGUAUUUAUCCUCCACUUUUGAAGGAUAGUUUCACUGGAUACAAAAGUCUAGGUUUGUAGUUUUGUUUUCCUUUGAAAACUUUCUAUCACUCUAAUCUCUUCUUGUUUGCAAGGCUUUUGAAGAGAAUCUGAGGUAAUUCUUACCUCUGUUCCUCUGUAGGUAAGGUGUUUUUUCCCUCUGGCUUCUUUCAAUAUUUUCUCUUUGUCUUUUGUUUUCUGCUAUGUCUAGGUGUAGGUUUUUUGGCACAUAUCCUGCUUGGUAUUCUUUUGAGCUUUCUAGAUCUGUGGUUAGGAAUCUGUCAUCAAUUUUUUAAAAUUCUCAAUUAUUAUUUCAAGUACUUCCUCUGUUCCCUUUUCUCUUUCUUCUCCUUCUGGUAUUCCCAUUAUGUGUAUGCUACACUUUUUGUAAUUGUACCAAAGUUCUUGGAUAUUGGAUUCCAUUUGUUCAUUCCUUUUUCUCUUUGCUUUUCAGUUUGGGAAAUUUCUAUUGACAUAUCUUGAAGCUCACUGAUUCUUUCCUUGACAAUGUCCAGCCUACUAGUAAGCCCAUCAAAAGCUUUCUUUACUUCUGUUAUAGUGGUUUUUAUCCCCUUUUGAUUCUUUGGGUUUCCAUUCCUUUGCUUACAUUACCCAUCUGUUCUUGCAUAUUGUUCACUUUUGCCAUUAGAGCCCUUAACAUGUUAUUCAUACUUAUUUUAAAUUCCCAGUCUAAUAAUUCCAAAAUCUCUGCCAUAUCUGAGUCUAGUUCUGCUGCUUGCUUUGUCUCUUGAGACUGUGUUUUUUUACCUUUUAGCAUGCCUUGUAAUUUUUUGUCAAAAGCCAGACAUAAUAUAUUGGGUAAAAUAAACUGAGGCAAAUAGGCCUCUAGUGUGAGGUUUUAUGUUUAUUUGGCUAGAAGUUAGGCUUUGUUUACUGUUUGGCAUAGCUGUAGGUGUCAGAGGCUAAAUUUCCCCUCUCUCUCUCUUUUUUUUUUUUUGUUUUGUUUCCCCUGGAGACUUCUUAAUAGGGUCUGAGCCUUGCAGUUCCUUCCACUGUAAUCCCUAAUCCCCUGUGUUGUGCUUUUUGUUUUGUUUUGUUUUGUUUUUUUGUGAGACGGAGUCUCAUUCUGUCACCCAGGCUAGAGUGCAGUGGCACUAUCUUG
rnacentral:lncRNA from 10 species